GACGAACGCUGGCGGCGUGCUUAACACAUGCAGGUCGAACGGAAAGGCCCUGCUUUUGUGGGGUGCUCGAGUGGCGAACGGGUGAGUAACACGUGAGUAACCUGCCCUUGACUUUGGGAUAACUUCAGGAAACUGGGGCUAAUACCGGAUAGGAGCUCCUGCUGCAUGGUGGGGGUUGGAAAGUUUCGGCGGUUGGGGAUGGACUCGCGGCUUAUCAGCUUGUUGGUGGGGUAGUGGCUUACCAAGGCUUUGACGGGUAGCCGGCCUGAGAGGGUGACCGGCCACAUUGGGACUGAGAUACGGCCCAGACUCCUACGGGAGGCAGCAGUGGGGAAUAUUGCACAAUGGGCGGAAGCCUGAUGCAGCAACGCCGCGUGCGGGAUGACGGCCUUCGGGUUGUAAACCGCUUUCGCCUGUGACGAAGCGUGAGUGACGGUAAUGGGUAAAGAAGCAGCGGCUAACUACGUG
rnacentral:rRNA from 1 species